GCCUGGGUGGCUCAGUCGGUUGAGCGUCCGACUUCAGCUCAGGUCAUGAUCUCACAGUUGGUGGGUUCGAGCCCCGCAUCAGGCU
rfam:Felis catus isolate Cinnamon breed Abyssinian chromosome B4, whole genome shotgun sequence.